GGCAAGGGCAGCCUGGAGAAGCGGCUAAAGGCCCCCUGGGCCUGUACCAAGGUUAGGAAAAAGAAGUUCGGACUUCUGUGAAUUACUCCAAGUUACACAAGAGUUUCGCUCUGUCACCAGGUGCCAGGCUGGAGUGCAGUGGCACAAUCUCAGCUCACUGAAACUUCCACCUCCCAGGUUCAAGCAAUCCUCCUGCCCCAGUCUCCCUAAUAGCUGGAACAACAGGUACGUGCCACCAUGCCCAGC